UACUGCAGUUUUUUCAAAAUACACUACAACAAAAACGGUCUAUAGCGACACUUUUAAAUAUAGGCACAUGUCAAAAAAGUGCUGCUAGCUAAAAUUACCGACACUUUUAAAAAGUGUUGCUAUAUGUGGGGUCACUAGGUAUAUAGUAACAGUUAAAGAGUGUCGCUAUAACCUAAAAGAGUGCUGCUAAUUUACCAAUACUUAUUUAAGCAUUUAGCAACCGCCGAAACUCUAUCUCGUUGGCUGCGGUGGCGGAGGAGGACGACAGGAAAGGCUCUUCGUCUAGAAUUUCAGUGGAUUGAGUGCAAAGAGAAGAAAAGAUGGUAAUUGAUUUUUCUUUUUUUUUCUUUUCUGUUUGUAAUCGGGCCAAAUGGACUGGGUGUGGUGGGUUGAGUAGAGUAAUCUUUUAUUUUUGGUUGGAUUGGGCUUUAUAUUUAGGCAUUAGUAGAUGUUUUUUUAAGUUUUAGCAUAAAUGGGACACUUACUCAAAAGUGUCCCAAACAUGUGUCCCUAUAACCUAAUUCUGUUGUUGUAAUACUACUUAAAGGACCAAUUUAUUUUCGCAUAAUUAUAAUUACACUGCAGUUGUAGUUAUAUAUAAAUAUAAAUUCAAUAUUCAGUUUAAUAUAUUUGAAUUUAACUAUUGUAGUUGAAAUUAAUUACACAAGAAGGCCCAAUUGUGAUAGUUAGAACUACGUUUAAAUUAACCACAGUUUUAACUGCAAUAAUAACUUUUAAUUAAUUUAUUUUUCCUACGUAGAAAACAAUUUCACUCUCUCAUAUAAAAACUAAUAAAAUUAUACAAAUUCAUUUUGCAACUGCAUGUAACCAAAUAGGUUAUUUAUAAUUAUAAUACUUUUUACUACACCCAACCAAUUUAUGAUCAACUAUAGAUUCUCUUAAAUGA
rnacentral:lncRNA from 1 species